rnacentral:rRNA from 1 species
AGUGAACGCUGGCGGUAGGCCUAACACAUGCAAGUCGAACGGCAGCACAGUAAGAGCUUGCUCUUACGGGUGGCGAGUGGCGGACGGGUGAGGAAUACAUCGGAAUCUACUUUUUCGUGGGGGAUAACGUAGGGAAACUUACGCUAAUACCGCAUACGACCUACGGGUGAAAGCAGGGGAUCUUCGGACCUUGCGCGAUUGAAUGAGCCGAUGUCGGAUUAGCUAGUUGGCGGGGUAAAGGCCCACCAAGGCGACGAUCCGUAGCUGGUCUGAGAGGAUGAUGAGACGCGCGUGAACUACGACACGAUCCAGACUCUUACGAAAGACAGCAGUGUAGAAUAUUAGGAAAUGAGCGCAAGCAUGAUCCGGCCGUACCGCGUGCGUGAUGAAGGCCUUCGGGUUGUAAAGCGCUUUUGUUGGGAAGGAAAUACAGCAGGAUAAUACCCAGCUGUUCUGACGUAACCCAAAGAGUAAGGCCAGGCUAACUUCGUG